rnacentral:tRNA from 1 species
GGAGAAUUAGCUCAGCUGGGAGAGCAUCUGCCUUACAAGCAGAGGGUCGGCGGUUCGAACACGUCAUUCUCCACCA